rnacentral:rRNA from 1 species
AAAUUGAAGAGUUUGAUCAUGGCUCAGAUUGAACGCUGGCGGCAGGCCUAACACAUGCAAGUCGAACGGUAACAGGAAGCAGCUUGCUGCUUCGCUGACGAGUGGCGGACGGGUGAGUAAUGUCUGGGAAACUGCCUGAUGGAGGGGGAUAACUACUGGAAACGGUGGCUAAUACCGCAUAACGUCGCAAGACCAAAGAGGGGGACCUUCGGGCCUCUUGCCAUCAGAUGUGCCCAGAUGGGAUUAGCUAGUUGGUGAGGUAACGGCUCACCAAGGCGACGAUCCCU